rnacentral:misc_RNA from 1 species
GGUGAAAAAGGGAUGGAUCUUUCUACUGAUCUUAUGAGACACUGUGAGUGUUUGUUGGAGAGACUGAAGUCACUAAAAGGAUAUGGGAGCCGCCUGCAAUGUCAUGACCAGAUGUCAAAAUAUAUUUUAGAAGUAGAUAUUAGACUUUCUGAUAUCAAGUCACUGUCAUCUUAUGGAUCAGCUUUGCUCCCAUUUUGGGUCCAUUCUCAAAGGCAGCUUAAACGAUUAGAAGAUGUUAUUAACAAUGAAAUAUACCACCUUGCUGUAUCUGCACAAAUGGAUGAUGAUGUUGAGGCAACUGCCAAUGUUUCUUUUGAGGAAAAGGAAAAGUCUUGGGGAAGUGUGGGCCAUCAUUCUAACUCAGAUAGAUGUGAAAACAAUAAGAAAUCUGAAUUUGCAAGUGUUGCUACCGAUGUUGAGAAUGAUUCACAUGAUGAUCCUUGCGAAAAUGCAUAUGGUAGACAUAUUUCUUCUUUGGGAUCACCUAAUGGAAAUUUAGAAGGUGGUGCUGUGGUUGGUGAAAGAGCGAAUGUGACUCCAUGCCCAGAUCAUGAGUUUCAUUCUGGGGAAGAUGUUAUGGAUGUUGACAUGGAAGUUGAAGAUGGAGUCCCAGUAAGCAUCACAGCUUUGGGAGAUGAUUCAAGCACCAAGUUUGUUGCUCCAGCCAAGCAAUUGAGUCUGCCAAAUACGCCUGCAGAGUACUCAACUUUGACAUCAGGGUAUGAGUCAAGUGUUCCACCUCCCCCAGAAGAGGAUUGGAUUCCACCACCACCGCCUGAUAGUGAUCAGGUACCUCCACCUCCUCCCGACAGUGAACAAGUUCCUCCUCCGCCACCACCUGAUGAGCCUCCUGAAUCUUCGUAUCCUCUGCUUCCAUCUUAUCCAGAGACACAUCAACCAUACCCAUACACAGAACAAUACAACUUACCCUAUCCAGAUCCUAAUUUUCAAUAUUAUGGACACACAGUUACUGUCCCAAGUAGUAAUUUAUAUGGACAUGCUGAUGGAAGUCAGGUAGGUGUGUCCCAUGCAUCACUUUAUUAUGAAACAGUUGCCAACACCUAUGUGGAAACCGCUCCAGUCAUGGUUAGCCCUGUUGAGCCAGUAGCAUAUUAUAACCUUCAAGAUGGUUCAGUGCCCUCACUGCCUGACGUUAGAGUAGAAUCUUCCUGUUUGCACUCUGAAUCAGUCCCUGUGGGUUAUGAUGCUUUUGCUUCUGAUCAAGUUAUAAAUGUUGAUAAACCAGCUGAAGCAGGACAAAAUCUGAAACUUGAUGUUUCAGUUGUUGUUGGUGAGACAAUCACAGCAUCUGUGGGGUUCACAUCUAACUCAAUUGCUGCUGAAACUCCUGCCACGACUAAUGUGAUGGAGAAUGUUUCUGCAGCCUCAACAAAUCCUGGUAAUGCUGCAGCAGCUGUAUCUGUCACAACAGCUGCUAAGGUUCAAUCCAAAGUUCCUCGCAGUAAAAAACGGACCGUUGCUGUUGCACCUUCAUUGAGGUCUAACAAGAAAGUUUCCAGUUUGGUGGACAAGUGGAAAGCAGCUAAAGAGGAGUUGAAUGAGAAUGAGGAAGAUGAACCUGAAAAUGCUUAUGAGAUAUUGGAGAAAAAAAAACAAAGGGCAAUUGAGGAAUGGCAUGCUAAACAAAUUGCCAGUGGAGAGGCCAAGGAUAAUGCUAAUUUUCAGCCUUUAGGCGGUGAUUGGCGUGAGCGAGUGAAGCGCAGAAGAGCUCAAGCAGCCAAGGGAGCUGCAAAGACACCACCAGAAGCCCCUAUCAUGGAAAACCAACAACCUGAUUUAUCAGAACUUUCAAUGGGACUUCCGUCUGGUUGGCAGGCAUAUUGGGAUGAAGCAUCAAAACAGGUCUAUUAUGGAAAUGUUAUUACAUCAGAGACGACGUGGAGCCAGCCAACAAAAUAGCCACCAUUGAAUUUUACAGAGAAUCUCAUUUGUAGUUAAAUACAUUUUUGGUUGUAAUAGUGAGGGCUCCUUUCAUUAUUAUUAUCAUUUUCUUUUUCAGUUUUCUUUUAAAUAUCCCCAUUUCCCAUACCUCUUCAUAUUAUGAUUACCUUAUUGGGUGCUAAGUUCAGGAG